rnacentral:piRNA from 1 species
UCCUUCAUCAAAGAGGCCAUCCUAC